CCUACGGGAGGCAGCAGUGGGGAAUAUUGGGCAAUGGGCGCAAGCCUGACCCAGCAACGCCGCGUGAAGGAAGAAGGCCUUCGGGUUGUAAACUUCUUUUGUCAGGGAAGAGUAGAAGACGGUACCUGCCGAAUAAGCCACGGAUAACUAGGUGCCACCAGUCGCGGGAAUACGUAGGUGGCAGUCGUGGUCCGGAUUCAAUGGGUGUAAGGGACGGGUAGCGGGGUGGAGAAGUCAGAUGUGAAAUCCCGCGGCUUAACCGCAGAACUGCAUUUGAAACUGUUGAUCUUGAGUGCUGGAGAGGCAGACGGAAUGCCUAGUGUAGCGGUGAAAUGCGUAGAUAUUA
rnacentral:rRNA from 1 species